UUACGGUCAAAUCACGCUGAAACACCGGUUCUCGUUCGAUCACCGAAGUUAAGCAUCGUAGAGCCAGGUCAGUACUUAGAUGGGGGACCGCUUGGGAACACCUGGUAAUGUAAG
rnacentral:rRNA from 1 species